AGCCCGGCAGGCCUAUCGUGGUGCCCCGCCCCGUCGCGCCCGCGCCUGCGCUGUGCGCGCUUACUGGUCUCAAGCGCCCCGGCGGGAGGUUUUUCUACAUGAGUGGAGAAGACAGUUGUUGCAAAUAGAAGAGAUAAAACAUUUUUUUUAGGAUGUCUGAAGAUGAAGAAAAAGUGAAAUUACGCCGUCUUGAACCAGCUAUUCAGAAAUUUAUUAAGAUAGUAGUCCCAACAGAUCUGGAAAGGUUAAGAAAGCACCAGAUAAAUAUUGAGAAGUAUCAAAGGUGCAGAAUCUGGGACAAAUUGCAUGAAGAGCAUAUCAAUGCAGGACGUACAGUUCAGCAACUCCGCUCCAAUAUCCGAGAAAUGGAGAAGCUUUGUUUGAAAGUCCGAAAGGAUGACCUAGGACUUCUGAAGAGAAUGAUAGAGCCCAUUAAAGAAGAAGCAUCAGCAGCAACAGCAGAAUUUCUCCAGCUCCAUCUGGAAUCUGUAGAAGAACUUCAAAAACAAUUUGAUGAUAAAGAAGCUUUAUUACAGCCUUCUUUGACCAGAUCCAUGACUGUUGGUGGAGCAUUUCACACUACUGAAGAUGAAACUGAACCUCAGAGUAUGACUCAGAUAUAUGCGCUGCCUGAAAUUCCUCAAGAUCAAAAUGCUGCAGAAUCAUGGGAAACCUUAGAAGCGGACUUAAUUGAACUUAGCCAACUGGUCACUGAUUUCUCUCUCCUAGUGAAUUCUCAGCAGGAGAAGAUUGACAGCAUUGAAGACCAUGUCAACAGUGCUGCUGUGAAUGUUGAAGAGGGAACCAAAAACUUGGGGAAGGCUGCAAAAUACAAGCUGGCAGCUCUGCCUGUGGCAGGUGCACUCAUUGGAGGAAUGGUGGGGGGUCCGAUUGGCCUCCUUGCAGGCUUCAAAGUGGCAGGAAUUGCAGCUGCACUUGGUGGUGGGGUGUUGGGCUUCACAGGUGGAAAAUUGAUACAAAGAAAGAAACAGAAAAUGAUGGAGAAGCUCACUUCCAGCUGUCCAGAUCUUCCCAGCCAGACUGACAAAAAAUGCAGUUAAAACCAACCUUCAGUAUUAUUGGUGUCAACAUGUCUAUCCUAAUUGGGACUUUGCUGCUAUUGGACACUCAGGCAGCUUUUGGAACAUGAUUAUAUCAAGAUAGUGGCUACAGAUGCUCAAAUGGGAUUGAACUGUGAUAAGUGGAUAUAUUUUGUUGUUUGGUGGGGUAUUAAUGGAUAUAUUAGAGAUUGAGGAGCCUGGACUGAAGGUUUAUAAUGUUUAUCAGGUAAAGUUUAAGGUCUGCCAAGGGGUAGAUUUUCUGCCUGGAAAUGUGAAAACAAAACCCAUGCUUUGUUAAGGACUCGUAAUAUAUGGACAUGUUGGGUUAUGGAAAGAUAGUUUUCAGAAUAGUUUCUUCCGUAACCCUGAUUUGGAAACUCUACGGUAAUAAGCAUAUUGUAAAUAUGCUUUUUUAUCUCCUAAAUAUAGGUUAUUUAGGCAUUUUAGCAAAGAAUGAAUGGAGGUUCAGGAGCCUUUUAUAUCAUAUAGGGAAAUCAGAAUCUAGCAAGGGGCACAAGUGAACUGCAUGGUGGUAUCCAUUUGAUGAGCCCUAUUGCAGUAUGGUCUAAGUAUAUUUUCUGGUGAAGGAAAGUAAUAGUGUAAGAAAAGGGAAAGAGAGGCCCAAUUUCUCUUUCAAAUAUCUUAAUUUGUAACACUGGCUUCUUCUCUGAACUUGUUCUUCUCACUCUCUUUAGAUAAAGAACAGAGUUUCAAAGUGGUAGAUUUAUUAAGCCAGUCACUAAGUUUGCUUUGUUAGCCUGUCUCUCUUAACACCUCAAAUAUCUAGUAAGCUCUGCCUUCCUUCCCUUGUAAUUUUGAGAAGUCCUUAGAAUUAUGGGGUGAGUUCUAUCCAUAUAUAAUGCAGACUUCUCUCAUAAUCCUUUUUUUUUUUUUAUUGUCUGCCAUCUCUAUUCGUCCUCUCCUGUAACUUCUAGGUAAAAAAGAGAGAUGUUGACCUCCAAAUAUUUCCAAUGUUGUUAAGAGACUGAGCUGAAAAAUAAGCUAGGUGGGAACACCAGAUCAUUUCUUGGGGCAUCUUCCAAUUUCACCUGUACUUGCUGCAUGGGGAUUCGCCGAUUCUAAGUCUUUUUAGCUGGCACUUGGAGGAGUAAAGAACCAGCUUUCUACCUCACUUCUUUUACUGUCAUCCUUUCUCCAGGUUCUGAUAUCUCCUGUGCUUUCCAUCACUUUUCACAGCUGCUAUUUCUUCCCAAGAAUGGCAGUCAUGCUUGCCUUUUCUCAUGUUCAAGCUGAUGAUGGACAAAGCAUGGUGCCAAGACUCAGUCCUAGUGGAGGAUUUGUGGUGCUAAUUGCAACACUUGAUAUUGAUAGCAAGCAUGGCCCAGCCCAACCCAAUGUCUCUUUCAAAUAGCAGAAAAGUUUUAAAUUUAGAAAAAAAGAAUUUAAGAUUACAGGCAGCCUCAUCCUGUACCCUCAAUUCCCUUGAAAUAGGAGGAAACCACCUUUUGCCUUACUCUUUUUAUUCUUUUCUAAGGACAGAGGAGAAGGCAUCUACACCACAAGAAGUGUGAGCCAAAUGGAUUCAUCAGGCGGUUGAAUGGUUUAUCACUUCUCUCUUGCUGAGUUUACUCUUAAUAACUUUUAUCAGUUGCUACCUUUUACUUCUGUGUUUAAUCUAAAGAGACCUUUCUCUUUCAUACCUUUUGCCUAUCACCUAUGAAUUCCAAUGAGAAAAUGUACCGUUUCUUACUGUUAUUAAAUAAUUGGAAAACAUCAAGUAUUACUACUGCUGGGUUAUGUCUUUAAUAUACUACCAAGAAGGAAAUACUUUGAGUAAGAGUUAGAUUCUGAUCAGGCAUUUGAUAUUGGAAACCCAUAAGGUUGGGAUAAUUAUUUUUGAACGCCAUCUUUUUCUAUUUUCUGAUCCUUGCUGUCCCUUUUACACAGGGUGAUCAAACCAGAACAAAAAUCUGAAUUGUCCAGGGUGCUAAAUUAAAACAAGAUUCCUAAACUUCAGUCCCUUGGGUUCUUUUCUCUUUUUUAUGCUUUUAGCAUAUGGAGGUUCCCAGGCUAGGGGUCUAAUCGGAGCUACAGCUGUUGGCCUAUGCCGUAGCCACAGCAACACCAAAUCCAAGCUUUGCAUCUGCGACCUACACCACAGUUCAUGGCAAUGUCGGAUACACUGAGCGAGGCCAGGGAUCAAACCCGCAACCUGAUGGUUCCUAGUUGGAUUUGUUUCUGGUGCGCCACGUUGGGAAAGCCCCCUUGAGUUCUAAUAGUAGCCAGUCUGGCCUGGUCAGUUAAAAUUAUAAAUUUUUAAGUUUUAUUGAAGUAUAGUUGGUUUACAAGGUUGUGAUAAUUUUUGCUGUACAACAAAGUGAUUCAAUUUAAAAUUAUAAAUUUAAGAUACAGGUACAUCAAGAUUCAGCUGUAUCAUUGAAUUCUGUAAUUUCUAAUAUUCUCCCCUUCAGCAUAGUCCAGUCUUCAUCACUGCAUAUUAUUCCUACUCUACCAAUCUAAAAUUUGGCUAGCUCACCACCUUAACAGCACUGUGGACUCACUGUACUGUUAGGCUGGUUUUACAUCAAGACCUGAAGAGAGAAGAGGCCUGUAACUGACCUUUGCAUUUUGUUUUGGGAUCUCUCCUUUUUACCGAGCCAGUGUGAGACGUCACUGUAUGUGCUCAUACAGGCCUUUGAUUUUUACUACUGAUGAGGAUUGGAAUAUUACUCUAGCAGUCUUCAUGUUUAAGCAAAUUAUAAUCCUUUUUAAAAGUUUUAUAAUAUAAAAUUAUUUAGAAAUUGUAUCUAAUUUCCCCAUAAUGGAACCUAAUAGCCAACUUUUUGUAGAAAUUUCUAGAAGUGUUUGAUCAACUAUAAAUGAUAUACCUAUAACUAUAAAGUGUUUAGAUGUAUAAAUUAGUCAAUAUGGGAGUUCCCAUCAUGGCUCAGUGGAAACAAAUCUGACUGGUAACCAUAAGGAUGCAGGUUGGAUCCCCGGCUUCACUCAGUGGGUUGAAGAUCUGGCAUUGCUAUAGCUGUGGUGUAGGUUGAAGAUACGGCUUGGAUCCCUCAUUGCUGUGGCUGUGAUGUAGGCUGGCACCUGUAGCUCUGAUUAGACCCCUAGCCUGGGAACUUCCAUAUGCCGUGGGUGCAGCCCUUUAAAAAUAUAAUAAUAAUAUAAUAUAUAUAUAUGUGUGUGUAUAUAUAUAUAUAUAUAAAAUUAGUCAAUAUGACAGAAAAAAUGUAUAUAUAAAAUUAGUCAAUAUGACAGAAGAACCAAUCUUAAAAUAGAAUUUAAUGCCCUACUAUAUCAGAUUAAAUUCAUCUCUAUGAUUCAUGUCUAUUUUUACUGCAACAAAUUAUAAAGUAAGGGACACUUUAAAUUCUUAAAAUAUACAGAGACUCUUUUGGCUAAAGGCAGCACUUCUAAAGACUUUUUUCCCCCCAGGAAAUCCAUAAUGUGUUUUUUUAAGAACAAUCAUAACUCCUAGAAUCAAAUGAUUAUCCUUUUAAAUAGUACUCUUGGGGGGCUCUGCACUUACUAUAGGGAUUGUAAUAUUAUUUAGACCAUUUUUGAGACUUCUCUUGGAAUUGCCUCCAAAGACAUUUUACAAAUCAUAUAAAAACUCCAUCUCAGUGUUUAUUAGUCACAGACUAUACUUCCUUGUCCUUAUGACCUCUCCUCCUCUUGUCCUUCCUCAGUUUUGUUUUCAUCUGCUGGCUUAGCUCCCCUACCCACUUCUGCUGCAGCCAUUAACUUAAAAGUGCCCAGAAAAGGGGGUGUGCUGGCCAGAGUUCCCAGAACAAGAACUUUUAGAUUAUACUGAAGCUGAAUGCUGUACAGGGAGAAUUCCACAAAUCCAAAAACUUUCCCCUGUGGGCUGCCUGCCCCUAGGGUGCUGUAAGUAGUUUGCACGGAAGUUAAGGACUGAAUACUAGUAUUAUCAAUCACAAGAAGUUGAGGAAACGGAAAUGUAAACAUGUAGUGUACCACAUUUUUCUCCACUGAAAGUACAGAAGCCAAACCAAGCCAUUCUUUGUGUUAACUUUGAAACUGAAAUGUUGUUCUCAGGGUCCCUCUUGUCCCUCAUUGCUGUCAUAUGAAAUCUUUGGGAGGAAGGAUGAAAAAGAGCUUGGGAAACAGUUCUCCUGUAAAAUGGGACAUAUUCUGCACUCAUAAUAAAGUAUGACAUGGCUGUGGCUAUCAGGUACUUAAGAAUGCUAGAAACUGUUCUUAGAUAGUCAGAGGCCUAAUAAAAGGUCAAGAAUCUUCCCCACUAGCCUAAGUUAAUGCAAACAGGUUCUAUUUGUAUUAAUACUUCAUGCUGUUUCUAACAGGUGGUUCUCAACUGUUUAUAUUUAUUAGACACUGUUGUACAGAGACACUCCUUGGAUAUUAUAAAUAAUCAGUGGUAAAAGAUCCAUAUAUUAUCCAAAUCACUGUCCUCAAAGAAAUAUAUUGUGGGAGAUAAGAAAAACAUCUGUGCAAUAUUAACAAAGAAAUAAAUUCAAGUAAAACAGCAAAAGUGUCAAAAGUAAAUGAUUUGCCCAAGAUUAAAAGUAGUUAGCACAAAUUAGAAUUAUAAUCAUGCUCUAAGAAAAAAAGUCCUCAAUGUGAACUUUUUUGUUAUGCUUUAUCAAGUUGUCUGCUGGAGCUUGUGGUCUUUCAGACCAGCUUUAACAUUCUACAUUAGGCAACAGCUGUAGUGGAAAGAGAAUUUGAUGGAGAAUCAGAUCAGAGUUCUCAUUUUGGCUUUGUCUCUUGUAAGCUUUUACUUGGGCCUGAAUGCUUUCUUGCAUUCUAGCCAGGGACUCCUCAACCAUAAAGCUUAAUGGUCACCAACUUAACAUUCCCAUUCUUUAUAUCUAGUCUCUCACUGGAUCUUGCCAAUUCUUUGCAUGUUAGUUGCAUUCAUUUUAAAAAAUUUAUUCAUAGCCAUCACUUUAUUACCUCACAUCCCCUAUCUCAUCUUCCCCAACUUUAGGCUGACAUUCUUCACAUCACUGCUACCAGACCUGUCUUUGGUUUUCUGCUGAAAUAUUUUUGGUGAAUCCUAUUGAAUACUUGAUAAAAUUCAGUCUUCCAUAUUCUGGCUCCAGCUUCAUCCUCUUCAAACUCAUUACUCCCUAUCUGACAAUGCCACUGAAAAUCAGACAUUCCACAAGAAUGAUUUUAGGGUUUUUAUAUAGUGAAGGUACAAACUGGUAAUAAACUGUUUACAUUUUUUCCAGACUAAGGUAAUUUCUGUAAUUCUACAUUUUAAAUUAAAAAUUUUUUUUUGUUUUGGCUAUAGCUAUCCUAGUGGGUGUAAAGUUGUAUCUUAUUGGGGCUUUGAUUUGCAUCUUGGUUGUGAUUCAUGAUGUUGAAUAUUUUUUUCAUGUGCUUAUUGGUUAUUUAUGUAUCUUUAUAGAAAUAUCUAGUCAAGUCUUUUGCCCUUCUUUUUGGCCAUGCCCAUGGCAUGCAUAAAUUCCUGGACCAGGGAUCGAACCCGUGCCACAACUGUAACCAGAGCUACAGCGGUAACAAUUCCAUAUCCUUAACCUGCUGAGUCACCAGGGAACUCCUGUGAUACUACAUGGAAAAAAAAUUAGUUGAGUUUGUUUAAGCUCUUGAACAAGCCUAAAAGUUGUCUCCUAUGGAGAAGAAAUCUUUUGUCCUCCCAGAAGAAAUUACAUUGAAUUUCUUAACCUCCAGAACAAUGUCCAUCUUUUCACCUGCACAUCAGCUAGCCAAAGCAUGAGGAUUUAGCUGCAUAGAUUUUUUCCAGUUUUGAAUGGACCAUUGUCCAGCUCCUGUGAAAAAUUUGACUAUUGAUAUUUGAGGAAAACAUUCAGUAGUACAUGUUAUCCAUACAUUUCUCAAGUACUUGAGAUUGGUUUAUAUUAGGGUUAAUCACUAAAAAGGAUGUUUACAUGGGUUUCAUUAAAUACUUCUCUAAAAAUGUUUUCCACUUUAUUGUUAAAACCCUUGUUAUUAUCAAGAGUCAGGACAAGAGAAGACCCAAUGGUGAGAAUUUCUGAAAAUUCUAUAAAGCCUGUGAAUUCAUUGAUUAUGUUGCUGAGUGGUGCUCUUAUAAGGUAACAUGCAAUAAAUUCACUUAAUCAACAUUUCCCUGAAUGCUCGUUGUGUGUUGUGUGCUAAUGCCAUAUGUAGGAAAAUAUUAGUCCUAUAGAAUCUACCCUUGUAAAACAUUCAGGCUAAUGAUUCAGAUUCUCAAAGCAAGUAAAUCACAGUAAAACAUGGUUAAGUUUCCUAAAAUAAGAAUGAACAAAGUAAUAUUAGCACACAGAGAAUGGAGCGACUAACUCUGCCUGGAAAAGAAGGGAAAGUCUUUGUGGAACAUGUGGCAUUUGAGCAGAGAACCCUAGGGAAGAAUAUGCAUGACUGAAAACCGGGUCUGUGAGAUUUCAAGUGGCAGAGGAAUUGCAGGUGCAAAGGGUUUGUAACACUAAGAAAUGUAGUGUGCUUUAGAGAAAACCAAGGAAUUAAAUGUGAGUGAUGAAGUUGAUUAGAUGAUUAGAUGAACAUACAGACUAGGUGGUUUUUAUAUGUGUAUAAUUAUAUAUAUAUUUAUUUUGUUUAAAGGGAUUAAGAUAAUCCAUUUGUAUCAGGUAACUGUUAUAACCCUCUGAGUUCUUCCUUUUGCUUCAUUGCUAGAGAAGUUAGUAAUAAUCCUCACAUUUGCCUGGGCUCUUGGUUUAUUUGUCAUAUUUGCUUUCCUUUCCCAUAUGUAAGAAAUGAUUUGUGCUUUCUUGCCUCUCUGCUGUGAGAUCCUCUGCUUAAUACUGAAUGCCUGCUUUCUUCCUAUCCUGUUUCAUUUCAUAAAUAUUUAUUGAAAACCCACUGAGAAAAUAGACAUGAAAUUUACUUUUGCCUUUUAGUGUCCAAGACCUCCUUUAUGGUCCAGUUUUCCAUCCCUAUGUGAAUAUUUCCUGACAACUGCAAUUCAGUGGCUCUCAUUUUCCUUGAGGCUAAUCCUGCAGGGUUUUACAACUUCAUAACGAUAUAAAAUUUUUUCAUUUCUGGCAGUGUGAUCCCCCCAACUAGUAUGUAGGCAUCUUACAGGGCAAGUACCAUAUCAUUUGCUUCUUAGAAUAUCUCAUAAUAUGAAGUACAGUGUUGAGAAGGGGAAAGGAAACCACCCUGGUUAGUGACUCCCAGGUGAGUGAUGAGGUCAUGGCAUGUGUGUUCUUCUGUUUUCAGGGAUAUGUAUUGAAAUGUUGAAAAGCUUUCUAAGACAUCAAACCUUUGCUCAGUAGUCACUUCUGUAUAUUAACAUAGGAAUGAACAAGGCAACAGAAGACAUCUGGAAAACAGCUCUAGGAUUUUGAAGUCAUGAUUUGAAAACUUCAGAAUUUGAAGUGACUCCAAAACCUAUUCUCUAAGGGCAGGCCAGCCCUUUCCCAGUGUGCUCUGCAAGAGGGACCUUUGAUGCUUCAGCUAAAGGUUAGGUUUGAGUUAUCCACACAUGGAUUCAUACAACUUCCCAUUGUGAGUCAAGUACUGUUAAACAAUCUAAAAAAUAGCUUUAAAACUGGGAAAUCUUGUGACUCUGGUCAUUUGGAUUCUGAGUAAAAUGUUCACAAUAUAUUUAUGCCAAAUUGAAUUAGUAAAAAGUCUCAAGUAUAAAAAUAUUUUAUAAAUAUAGUUUUAUUACUUGGAAAUACAUACAAAAAUUCAAACACAGCUAAAAAACAGUUGCCAAGCAGCAGUCCUAACCAACCUGAUUUAAUGAACACAUAAAACAGUUAUAAUCAGCAUAAAA